AUUGAACGCUGGCGGCAGGCUUAACACAUGCAAGUCGAGCGGAGAGGGGUAGCUUGCUACUGAUCUUAGCGGCGGACGGGUGAGUAAUGCUUAGGAAUCUGCCUAUUAGUGGGGGACAACAUUUCGAAAGGAAUGCUAAUACCGCAUACGUCCUACGGGAGAAAGCAGGGGAUCUUCGGAACUUGCGCUAAUAGAUGAGCCUAAGUCGGAUUAGCUAGUUGGUGGGGUAAAGGCCUACCAAGGCGGCGAUCUGUAGCGGGUCUGAGAGGAUGAUCCGCCACACUGGGCCUGAGACACGGCCCAGACUCCUACGGGAGGCAGCAGUGGGGAAUAUUGGACAAUGGGCGCAAGCCUGAUCCAGCCAUGCCGCGUGUAUGAAGAAGGCCUUAUGGUUGUAAAGCACUUUAAGCGAGGAGGAGGCUACUUUAGUUAAUACCUAGAGAUAGUGGACGUUACUCGCAGAAUAAGCACCGGCUAACUCUGUGCCAGCCGCCGCAGUAAUAC
rnacentral:rRNA from 1 species